CUCUCAAAGAUAAAUAAAUAAACAUUAAAAAAAAAGAAAUGAUAAAAAAAAAUCAGUUCUUUAGGAAAAGAAUCUCAUAGUAGAUGGAAGCCCAGAUCUUCAGAAGGGAAUGAAAAACAUCAGAAAUUUCUGAUGUGUAAAGAGCUUGGACACUCUCAUUCUAUCAUUACAACAAGAAAAAGCUGUGCAAACUGGACAUCAGUGACUUUUCUUGGACCUAUUAGAGAACUAAGGACACAGGACAGUCCAACACUCUGAUAUUUGGAGAGACAGGCAUUGUACUAAAUACCAGGUGUGGAGUUAACAUGGCCCUUUGCCCCCCAGAGCUCACAAUUUCAUAGGAGUCUCAGCUCCUGGUAUUUUCAUUAGCUCUGUCUUACAAGUGAGGUGACAAAGACACAGAUGGACCAAUUAACCCGUCCAAGCUCAAGAGACUCCAAAAUGGCAGAGGACCUUCUUUUCUAUGAAACUAACGGUUUGAAGACCAAGCAGUUGACCAUGAUUACUGAAUGAAC